rnacentral:rRNA from 1 species
GUAGCGGAAGCAGCGGUGGACUUCAUUCGAGUGAGAAUGCCGGAAUGAGUAGCGAGAAUUAUGUGGGAAUCAUAAUGGCCGAAAAUCUAAGGUUUCUUGGGGAAGGUUCGUCCGCCCAAGGUAAGCCGGGAGCUAAGGCGAGGCCGCAAGGCGUAGUCGAUGCACAUACGGUAGAAAUUCCGUAGCCGCCGAACUUUAAGCAUGCUGACACUUUGGAAUAGGGGAACCCGGGCGUUGGUUGACCCGGGCGUAAGGGACCGAAAAAUAGUAGGGAAGUCCUUGAUGUCCAGAGGCGAGAAAAGGCAUGUGGUAUACUAAGGCGCCCGUACCGCAAACCGACACAGGUAGAUGAGGAGAGAAUCCUAAGGCCAACGGGAGAAGGGUUGUUAAGGAACUCGGCAAAAUGACCCCGUAACUUCGGGAUAAGGGGAGCCUGCGCGAGCAGGCCGCAGAGAAUAGGCCCAAGCGACUGUUUACCAAAAACACAGGUCUAUGCUAAAUCGAAAGAUGACGUAUAUGGGCUGACGCCUGCCCGGUGCUGGAAGGUUAAGAGGAGAGCUUAGUCGCAAGGCGAAGGUUUGAAUUGAAGCCCCAGUAAACGGCGGCCGUAACUAUAACGGUCCUAAGGUAGCGAAAUUCCUUGUCAGGUAAGUUCUGACCCGCACGAAUGGCGUAACGAUUUGGGCGCUGUCUCAACAGCCCACCCGGCGAAAUUGUUGUACUGGUGAAGAAGCCAGUUACCCGCAACUAGACGGAAAGACCCCAUGGAGCUUUACUGUAGCUUAAUACUGGAAAUCGGUAAUUCAUGUACAGGAUAGGUGGGAGACUUGGAAGCCUCGGCGUCAGCUGAGGUGGAGUCACCCUUGGGAUACCACCCUUGAUUUGCUGGUUUUCUAACCUGCGGCCGUGAAUCCGGUCGGGGGACACUGUUAGGUGGGCAGUUUGACUGGGGCGGUCGCCUCCAAAAAGGUAACGGAGGCGCUCAAAGGUUCGUUCAGCACGGACGGAAAUCGUGCAGUGAGUGUAAACGCAUAAACGAGCCUAACUGCGAGACCGACGGGUCGAGCAGUAACGAAAGUUGGAGUUAGUGAUCCGGCGGUAUGUGAGUGGAAAUGCCGUCGCUCAACGGAUAAAAGCUACCCUGGGGAUAACAGGCUGAUCUCCCCCAAGCGUCCACAGCGACGGGGAGGUUUGGCACCUCGAUGUCGGCUCGUCGCAUCCUGGGGCUGUAUUCGGUCCCAAGGGUUUGGCUGUUCGCCAAUUAAAGCGGCACGCGAGCUGGGUUCAGAACGUCGUGAGACAGUUCGGUCCCUAUCUGUUGCGGGCGUA